rnacentral:rRNA from 1 species
AUUGAACGCUGGCGGCAUGCUUUACACAUGCAAGUCGAACGGUAACAGGGAGCUUGCUCCGCUGACGAGUGGCGAACGGGUGAGUAAUGCGUCGGAACGUGCCGAGUAGUGGGGGAUAACGCAUCGAAAGGUGUGCUAAUACCGCAUACGUACUGAGGUAGAAAGUGGGGGACCUUCGGGCCUCACGCUAUUCGAGCGGCCGACGUCUGAUUAGCUAGUUGGUGAGGUAAAGGCUCACCAAGGCGACGAGCAGUAGCGGGGCUGGGAGGAUGAUCCGCCACACGGGGACUGAGACACGGCCCAGACUCCUACGGGAGGCAGCAGUGGGGAAUUUUGGACAAUGGGCGCAAGCCUGAUCCAGCCAUGCCGCGUGUCUGAAGAAGGCCUUCGGGUUGUAAAGGACUUUUGUCCGGGAGCAAAUGCUGGUGGCUAACAUCCACCGGAGCUGAGAGUACCGGAAGAAUAAGCACCGGCUAACUACGUGCCAGCAGCCGCCGUAAGAC